rnacentral:rRNA from 1 species
UACGUAGGGUGCAAGCGUUACCGGAUCACUGGGCGUAAAGGGUGCGUAGGCGGCCGAGUGUGUCUGGCGUUAAAAGCCACGGCUCAACUGUGGAUAUGCGCUGGAAACUGCUCGGCUUGAGUGCAGCGAGAGGCAGACGGAACUGCUGGUGUAGAGGUGAAAUUCGUAGAUAUCAGCAGGAACGCCGGUGGAGAACGUCGGUCUGCUGGGCUGUUACUGACGCUGAGGCACGAAAGCUAGGGGAGCAAACCGGAUUAGAUACCCGGAUAGU